rnacentral:rRNA from 1 species
GAUGAACGCUGGCGGCGUGCCUAAUACAUGCAAGUCGAGCGAAUGGAUUAAGAGCUUGCUCUUAUGAAGUUAGCGGCGGACGGGUAAGUAACACGUGGGUAACCUGCCCAUAAGACUGGGAUAACUCCGGGAAACCGGGGCUAAUACCGGAUAACAUUUUGAACCGCAUGGUUCGAAAUUGAAAGGCGGCUUCGGCUGUCACUUAUGGAUGGACCCGCGUCGCAUUAGCUAGUUGGUGAGAUAACGGCUCACCAAGGCAACGAUGCGUAGCCGACCUGAGAGGGUGAUCGGCCACACUGGGACUGAAACACGGCCCAGACUCCUACGGGAGGCAGCAGUAGGGAAUCUUCCGCAAUGGACGAAAGUCUGACGGAGCAACGCCGCGUGAGUGAUGAAGGCUUUCGGGUCGUAAAACUCUGUUGUUAGGGAAGAACAAGUGCUAGUUGAAUAAGCUGGCACCUUGACGGUACCUAACCAGAAAGCCACGGCUAACUACGUGCCAGCCGCCGCGGUAA